AUCUUCUUAAGUUCUUCUGCCAUUGGGAUUGUAUGGUAUGGUGAGAGCUUGAUCUGCCCUUCUUGCAGUAGCAAGUCGAAAAUCUUAUCAGCCUUGGAGAUAUCGAACCCGAAUUCUUAGGUUCCUUCUUGCUGUAUGGGCAUGAGAUCAGCUUUUUGGUCUUAACCCAUUCUGCCAAACCGAUCUCUACCUCUUCCUCUGAGUCCAAACAUUCUACGUA
rnacentral:lncRNA from 1 species